GACGAACGCUGGCGGCGUGCUUAACACAUGCAAGUCGAACGGUGAAGCGCAUUUCUUUUUGGGGGUUGUGGGUGAGUGGGGAACUGGUGCGUAACACUCUGGUAACCUGCGCCCUUCUUCUGGAUAACCGCAUGAAAGUUUGGCUAAUACGGGAUAUUCUGGGUCUGUCGCAUGAUGGGUCUGGGAGAGAUAUUGUUUCGGUGGGGGGGGGGCGCGCGGCCUAUCUGGUUGUUGGUGUGGUGACGGCCUACCAAGGCGGUGACGGGUGGCCGGCCUGGGAGGGUGGACGGUAACAGUGGGACUGAGACGCGGCGCAGACUCCGACAGGAAGCAGCAGGGGGUAAUAGUGCACGAUGGGCGGAAGGCUGAUGCAGCGACGCGUCGGGAGGGAUGGAGGCCUUAGGGUAGUGAACCUCUUGCGGGAGUGAAGCAGGCCUGCCUAGUUUGUGGGUGGGUUGACGGUAGCUGGAUAAGAAGCGCCGGCUAACUACGUG
rnacentral:rRNA from 1 species